rnacentral:rRNA from 1 species
CCUACGGGUGGCAGCAGUGAGGAAUAUUGGUCAAUGGACGAGAGUCUGAACCAGCCACGUAGCGUGAAGGAUGACUGCCCUAUGGGUUGUAAACUUCUUUUAUAUGGGAAUAAAAUGUUCCACGUGUGGGAUUUUGUAUGUACCAUAUGAAUAAGGAUCGGCUAACUCCGUGCCAGCAGCCGCGGUAAUACGGAGGAUCCGAGCGUUAUCCGGAUUUAUUGGGUUUAAAGGGAGCGUAGGUGGAUUGUUAAGUCAGUUGUGAAAGUUUGCGGCUCAACCGUAAAAUUGCAGUUGAAACUGGCAGUCUUGAGUACAGUAGAGGUGGGCGGAAUGCGUGGUGUAGCGGUGAAAUGCUUAGAUAUCACGAAGAACUCCGAUUGCGAAGGCAGUUCACUGGACUGCAACUGACACUGAGGCGCGAAAGUGUGGGUAUCAAACAGGAUUAGAUACCCGUGUAGUC